rnacentral:rRNA from 1 species
AGUGAACGCUGGCGGUAGGUCUAACACAUGCAAGUCGAACGGCAGCACAGUAAGAGCUUGCUCUUACGGGUGGCGAGUGGCGGACGGGUGAGGAAUACAUCGGAAUCUACUUUUUCGCGGGGGAUAACGUAGGGAAACUUACGCUAAUACCGCAUACGACCUACCGGUGAAAGCAGGGGAUCUUCGGACCUUGCGCGAUUGAAUGAGCCGAUGUCGGAUUAGCUAGUUGGCGGGGUAAAGGCCCACCAAGGCGACGAUCCGUAGCUGGUCUGAGAGGAUGAUCAGCCACACUGGAACUGAGACACGGUCCAGACUCCUACGGGAGGCAGCAGUGGGGAAUAUUGGACAAUGGGCGCAAGCCUGAUCCAGCCAUACCGCGUGGGUGAAGAAGGCCUUCGGGUUGUAAAGCCCUUUUGUUGGGAAAGAAAAGCAGCAGGUUAAUACCCCGCUGUUCUGACGGUACCCAAAGAGUAAGCACCGGCUAACUUCGUG